CGAACGGGUGAGGAACACGUGAGGAAUCUGCCCAUCAUUUGGGAUAACACCGGGAAACCGGUGCUAAUACCGAAUACUCCGUCUUGGCGGCAUCGCUAAGCCGGGAAAGAAUUUCGAUGAUGGAUGAUCUCGCGGCCUAUCAGCUAGUUGGUGAGGUAACGGCUCACCAAGGCAACGACGGGUAGCCGGCCUGAGAGGGCGGCCGGCCACACUGGGACUGAGACACGGCCCAGACUCCUACGGGAGGCAGCAGUAGGGAAUAUUGGGCAAUGGGCGCAAGCCUGACCCAGCGACGCCGCGUGAGGGAUGAAGGUCUUCGGAUUGUAAACCUCUUUCAGUAGGGAAGAAGCGAAAGUGACGGUACCUAAAGAAGAAGCACCGGCUAACUAUGUGCCAGCAGCCGCGGUAAUACAUAGGGUGCAAGCGUUGUCCGGAAUUAUUGGGCGUAAAGAGCUCGUAGGUCGUUAAUCACGUCGGAUGUGAAAAUCUGUGGCUCAACCUCAGACCUGCAUUCGAUACGGGUUAACUAGAGUGUGGUAGGGGAGACUGGAAUUCCUGGUGUAGCGGUGGAAUGCGCAGAUAUCAGGAGGAACACCAAUGGCGAAGGCAGGUCUCUGGGCCAUUACUGACACUGAGGAGCGAAAGUUCGGGGAGCGAACAGGAUUAGAUACCCUGGUAGUCCGAACCGUAAACGGUGGACGCUAGUUGUGGGAACCUUCCACGGUUUCCGCGACGCAGCUAACGCAUUAAGCGUCCCGCCUGGGGAGUACGAUCGCAAGAUUAAAACUCAAAGGAAUUGACGGGGCCCCGCACAAGCAGCGGAGCAUGCGGCUUAAUUCGACGCAACGCGAAGAACCUUACCAAGGCUUGACAUAUAGAGAAAAGUGGCAGAGAUGUCAUGUCCGCAAGGGCUCUAUACAGGUGGUGCAUGGUUGUCGUCAGCUCGUGUCGUGAGAUGUUGGGUUAAGUCCCGCAACGAGCGCAACCCUCGUUCUGUGUUACCAGCAUUUAGUUGGGGACUCACAGGAGACUGCCGGGGUCAACUCGGAGGAAGGUGGGGAUGACGUCAAAUCAUCAUGCCCCUUAUGUCUUGGGCUGCACGCAUGCUACAAUGGCUGGUACA
rnacentral:rRNA from 1 species